rnacentral:rRNA from 1 species
GUGUCAGCAGCCGCGGUAAGACGAACCACCCAAACGUUAUUCGGAAUUACUGGGCUUAAAGAGUGCGUAGGCGGCCUUGUAAGUAGGGUGUGAAAUCCCACAGCUCAACUGUGGAACUGCGCUCUAAACUACAUGGCUAGAGGGAUAUAGAGGUGAGCGGAACUGAUGGUGGAGCGGUGAAAUGCGUUGAUAUCAUCAGGAACACCGGAGGCGAAGGCGGCUCACUGGGUAUCUUCUGACGCUGAGGUACGAAAGCUAGGGGAGCGAACGGGAUUAGAUACCCCCGUAGUCC